CCCAGACUCCUACGGGAGGCAGCAGUGAGGAAUAUUGGUCAAUGGGCGAGAGCCUGAACCAGCCAAGUAGCGUGCAGGAAGACGGCCCUAUGGGUUGUAAACUGCUUUUAUAAGGGAAUAAAGUGAGCCUCGUGAGGCUUUUUGCAUGUACCUUAUGAAUAAGGACCGGCUAAUUCCGUGCCAGCAGCCGCGGUAAUACGGAAGGUCCGAGCGUUAUCCGGAUUUAUUGGGUUUAAAGGGAGCGUAGAUGGGUUGUUAAGUCAGUUGUGAAAGUUUGCGGCUCAACCGUAAAAUUGCAAUUGAUACUGGCAGUCUUGAGUACAGUUGAGGUAGGCGGAAUUCGUGGUGUAGCGGUGAAAUGCUUAGAUAUCACGAAGAACCCCGAUUGCGAAGGCAGCUUACUAAACUGUGACUGACAUUGAUGCUCGAAAGUGUGGGUAUCAAACAGGAUUAGAUACCCCAGUACAA
rnacentral:rRNA from 1 species